rnacentral:tRNA from 1 species
GGCUUUAUAGUUUAAUUAAAAUAUUAGAUUGCAAAUCUAGAGAUACUUAAUGUUAAAGCUU